UCGAGGAUCAUUCGCAAUGGGCGAAAGCCUGACGAUGCGACGCUGCGUGGAGGAUGACGGCCUUCGGGUUGUAAACUCCUGUCAUGAGGGAAAAACGGACCUGCGACAACAUCAAGGGAACGGGAUGGUACCUCAAGAGGAAGCCACGGCUAACUCUGUGCCAGCAGCCGCGGUAAUACAGAGGUGGCGAGCGUUGUUCGGAUUUACUGGGCGUAAAGGGCGCGUAGGCGGCCGCGUGUGUCGGGUGUGAAAUCCAUGGGCUCAACCCAUGAAGUGCGCCCGAAACUGCGCGGCUCGAGUGCGGGAGGGGAGAUCGGAAUGCAGGGUGUAGCGGUGAAAUGCGUUGAUAUCCUGCAGAACACCGGUGGCGAAGGCGGAUCUCUGGAACGCAACUGACGCU
rnacentral:rRNA from 1 species